GGUGUGAUGGAGUUUAGACGUGUUCUCUAUGAUGAUUUUGGCAGUUACAACAAUCAAUCUUCAAAUUUUGGACCCAUGAAAGGAGGAAAUUUUGGAGGCAGAAGCUCUUGUCCCUAUGGUGGUGGAGGCCAAUACUUUGCCAAACCAUGAAACCAAGGUGGCUGUGGCGGUUCCAGCAGCAGCAGUAGCUAUAGCAGUGGCAGAAGAUUUUAAUUACUGCCAGGAAACAAAGCUUAGCAGGAGAGGAGAGCCAGAGAAGUGACAGGGAAGCUACAGGUUACAACA